rnacentral:lncRNA from 1 species
UACAACAUGAUAUCUCUACUUAGUAUGAAUUUGCAUAAGUAAUAAAAGACUAUUCUAACAUGAAUGUACCAAAGUAUCACUAGCAUGAUGUCCACAAGCUAAAUAGUAAAAUGUCUUGUUUACUAUUCUAGUCAAUGUCCAGUCGGUAUGCUAAGUCAUCAAUGAUCCAAUCCUGUAGGACCUACCCGUGGGUAGUCCGGCCUGCGCCAUGCCUAAUGGCCCCGUGGUAGUCAACAUCCCCACUCUAGGAAUAAGCCUCCCCCACGGCAUCCCAUUUCGGCGCCCAAUCCCGCACGAGCAAGCAUAUGUCGCGAUGGCUAUCUCUGUAGUGCCGGCUUGUAGGGAGCGACCAUCACAAGCAUGUGCGAAUGAGCACAAUGGCAAGCAAGCGAAAGAUCUGUCUCAAGUCCCAUGUCCUCAUGUCUAAAACAUGGAAUAUACGUCGAAUGUCUCAAAGGCCUAUCUCUAUGUCAUCAUGUCUCUAACAUGGAAUAUAGCAAAUGUUCAAUGGCCUAUCACUAUGUCUCUAGGUUGCAAUUUCACAGUUUACUAUGUCAAGUGCCUCUUUAUGACAUUUUUGUCCACUAAGUCCACACAUGAGUUUAUUGUUUACAAUGCAUGAUUUGAGUAAUUUCUAACAUAAGAGACAUAUUUCCAAGUCGCUAACACGAACACUCCUCAUAUGCAUGCAAAAAUGCCCAGAAUGCCCUACUAUAUAGAGUGAAAUUUUCAUGAUACAUAAGGCAUGCAUUUUAAGUGUUCUAAAAUUCACAUAAAUCUCAUUUAACAUGAAUAUGCAAUCAAAUUGACGUUACGACAAGUAUAGAAUACUUAGGGGCCAUUUCGCCCCGAUUUCAAGAAGUCAAACCCACCGAAGUUACUGAAACCCUUCGUAACUUCCGACGAAAGUGUCCACCACUCUCCUAGUACCCUAAAGGUAUAGAAAAGAGAGUUAAACGAACCUUACGAACACUCAAGUGAUCGAUCAUUAACCAUCUAAAACUAAGGUGGAGAAACUCACCUCAAUCGAAGAAAUCCUCUCUCAAGCUCCAAAUGGGAGUUAGAGUUCUUCAAAUCCAACCUAAAUAAAGGUUCUAAAUCCAUCAAUUAGGUUUCAAAGCCCUCAAAUCGAAAAUCCCCAAAAUAAACUCUAAUUCUACAAUCUAGGGUUUCAUCUAGCAAAAUCUAAAAAAAACUUAUAUUAAAUAGGGAAUACAAGCUACCAACCUCAAGAGAAGCUCCAAUCCAAGCUCUAAACCAAGUAGGGUUGAAGCUUGAUCCUCUACAAAGCUCCAACCGCAAGCUCUAAGCCAUCAUUGUGUGAUGAGAGGAAGAAGAUGAUGCUCCAAGGCCUCCAAGUAAGCUCCUCUCCUCUCCUUCUUCUUCUUCUCCUUCUCUUUCUCUCUCUAGUGUGGGUGUGAGGGAGAGAAAUGAGAGUGAGAGUAAGAGAGAGAACCAUAUAAGCCAUCCCAAGUAACAAAAUCUACUUAGGUCCCUCAACAAUCAACACUGUGCAUAGCCCGAACUGGGCAGUUUUCGGACUGAGGGACCGGUCUCCCCGACCUGGGACCGGUCUCUCAGCCUGCCCCGAAAAUCCAACGUUCGGGAACCGGUCUCUCCCUGCAUGGGACCGGUCUGUCCCCACGUAGUCGCGCUCGGGGACCGGUCUCAGCCGCCAGGGACCGGUUGCCUCGCAGGCUGCCGCAACACUAUUCUGAGGGGACCGGUCUCUCCUAUCAGGGACCGGUCCCCGAGAGUGAAAACUCUCAGGACAAAGCCAAAACUCCAGGAAUCGAACUUUUAGGUCGAAAUACCAUCUACGACCUUCCACCAAGUGUGAAAAUGUUUGGAAUCCAUAUCAAACACUCGAACCUCGCAAUUUGCAAAGGUCCAGUGUGCUACAUUCACCCCUCCUAAAAAGGAGUUUCGUCUGCGAAACUCAAAAGCAAACACAUACCUCAAAGCUCUAUCUGAAAAAGAUGGGGAUAGCGCUCCCGCAGCGCGCUCUCUAGCUCCCUCGUGGCCUCCCGCUCCCCGUGGUUGCUCCAAAGAACCUUUACAUAGGGAAUAUCCCGAUUACGCAGUUUUCGCACCUCGCGAGCCAAAAUCCUCACUGGUUGCUCCUCGAAGCUCAAGUCAUCCCGCAACUCCAUAGGUGUAUCAUCCAACACAUGAGUCGGGUCGAAGACAUACUUCCGAAGGACUGAUACAUGAAAGACGUUGUGCACACCCGAUAGGUUCGGUGGUAGAGCAAGUCGAUACGCUACCGGACCUACAUGCUCCAAAAUCUUAUACGGUCCAAUAAAACGGGGGCUCAACUUACCCCGAAUUCCGAAUCUCUUCAUCCCUCUAGUCGGCGAGACCUUCAAGAAAACAUGGACUCCAACUUGGAACUCCAAGUCUCGCCGUCGUCGGUCGGCGUAGCUCCUCUGUCUACUCUAUGCCGUCAAAAGUCACUCCCGAGCAAUUCGAACCUUGUCCUCUGCUUCCAGGAGCACAUCAGGGCCCAAAACCAAUCUCUCGCCAACUUCACUCCAAUGAAGUGGCGAUCUACACUUCCGUCCAUAAAGUGCUUCAAACGGCGCCAUCUUGAUGCUUGCUUGAUAACUGUUGUUAUAAGCAAACUCUGCCAUCGGUAGAUGCUGCGACCAUCCUCCCUAGAAGUCAAUCACACAUACUCAGAGCAUAUCCUCUAAAGUCUAAAUGGUGCGCUCCGACUGCCCGUCACUCUGAGGGUGGAAAGUAGUGCUGAAGUCCAGUCGGGUGCCCAAGGCGUCCUGCAGACUCCUCCAAAAGUGAGACACAAAUCGGGUGUCUCGAUCCGAUACAAUUGAAGUAGGCACUCCAUGAAGUUGCACAAUCUCAUCAAGGUACACUUGUACGAUCUUCUCUCCGGUCCAAGUAGUAUGAAUAGGUAUGAAGUGCGCCGACUUCGUCAACCUAUCCACGAUCACCCAAAUAGCAUCAUGCCCGGUCUGAGAGCGGGGCAAUCCAGUCACGAAAUCCAUGGUGAUCUUCUCCCACUUCCACAUGGGAAUAAGCAAACUCUGAAGCUUUCCCGCGGGUAAACGGUGCUCAGCUUUCACUUGUUGGCAAGUUAGACAUCGAGCUACAAACUCGCCAACUUCUUUCUUCAUCCCGGGCCACCAAUAAAACAACUUCAAGUCCUUAUACAUCUUAGUGCCUUCUGGAUGUAUAGCAUACGGUGCCCGAUGUGCUUCUUGAAGAAUAUCCUCUUUAAUUCCCGAAUCCGCCGGUACACAAAUCCGUCCACGAAAACGCAUCAAUCCUUGGUCAUCCACAAGGGAAUCACCGGUGCAACCAUUAACCAUUUUAUCUCGAACCUUUUGCAACUCCACAUUGGAAGCAUGCUUCUCUUUAAUUCUAUCCAAGAGUAUAGGUUGCACUACCAAGGUCAUCAAUCUCAAAGGUGUAUCAGGAGUCACCACCUCCAACUCAACCGCUUCAUCUGCUUGAUCAACUGCAGUUGAGUAACAACAUGCAUCGCUAAAUUUUUCGUUGAUUUCCUACUUAGCGCAUCUGCCACCACGUUAGCCUUGCCCGGGUGGUAUAGGAUCGUCAGCUCAUAAUCCUUGAGAAGCUCCAGCCAUCUGCGCUGUCUCAAGUUCAACUCCUUUUGAGUGAACAAGUACUUCAAGCUCUUGUGAUCCGUGUACACUUCACACCGCUCGCCAUAAAGAUAGUGGCGCCAUAACUUCAAUGCGAAGACUACGGCCGCCAACUCCAAAUCGUGCGUAGGGUAAUUCUUUUCAUAUUCCUUCAGUUGGCGAGAAGCAUACGCGAUCACCUUGCCGUCCUGCAUCAAAAUAUAGCCCAAUCCGUUAAGAGAUACAUCACUGCAAACCACAUACCCUGCUCUAGCAACUGGCAGGGUUAGGAUAGGGGCGGUCGUCAGUCGUUGCUUCAGCUCUUGGAAGCUUCUCUCACACGCAUCAUUCCAAAUGAACUUGACACCUUUAUGCGUGAGCCUCGUGAGGGGAGUAGAUAGCUUAGCGAAGCCCUCAACAAAUCUCCGGUAAUACCCGGCCAAUCCAAGGAAGCUCCGUAUCUCCGUGACGCUCGUCUGUCUCGGCCAACCUUGAUUGCUUCAAUCUUCUUAGGAUCCACAGCUAUACCCGAUCCUGAAAUCAAAUGUCGAAGAAAAGCUACCUCUCGAAGCCAAAAUUCACACUUUUUCAGCUUGGCAUAAAGCUCCCUUUUUCGAAGUACUUGGAGCACAAAUCUCAAAUAUUCCUCAUGAUCUGCAUCACUUCGAGAAUAAACCAAAAUGUCGUCGAUGAACACCACAACGAACCUAUCUAGAUAAGGCUUAUAAACACGGUUCAUUAUAUCCAUAAAAGCUGCCGGGGCAUUAGUAAGCCCAAACGGCAUAACUGUGAACUCAUAGUGUCCAUACCGUGUUCUAAAAGCCGUCUUUGAUACAUCCUCGGGUUUGAUCUUUAAUUGGUGGUAUCCCGACUGCAAGUCGAUCUUGGAAUACACACACGAUCCUUGAAGCUGAUCAAACAAGUCAUCGAUCCUCGGCAACGGAUACUUACUCUUGAUCGUGACUUUAGUAAGUUCACGAUAGUCCACACAUAGGCGAAGUGAUCCGUCCUUCUUCUUGACGAACAGAACUGGAGCUCCCCACGGUGAGACGCACGGUCGAAUGAAGCCCUUGUCCAACAGAUCCUGUAGCUGUGCCCUCAGCUCCUUUAGCUCCGCCGGUGCCAUCCUAUAGGGUGCCUUCGAGAUUGGAGUAGUCCCAGGGACGAAAUCUACCACAAAUUCGAUCUCCCUAUCGGGUGGCAUGCCCGGUAGCUCAGCUGGAAACACGUCCUGGAACUCCCGUACCACCAGAAUAUCCUCAAUCCUGGGGGUGUCAUCCUCGCCCCUCAACACAACGCUAGCCAAGUAGGCUACACAUCCUCAGCUGAUCAGCUGCCUAGCUCAAGACGAGCUGAUCGACAUCGCAAAAAGCGAACUCCGGCAUCCUCUAAACACAACCUCAGUCUGCCCCGGUUCUCUAAAAGUAACCGUGUGAUUCUUACAAUCAAUCGUGGCAUAAUACUUGGUUAGCCAAUCCAUACCCAAGACCACAUCGAAGUCCCCUAGCUUGCAGAGCUAGCAAAUCCACGGGCAUGAUCCAAUCACCUACCCGAAUAGGGCAACUAGGGCAAUACUCUCUAAUAUCCAAAGAGUGGUCGGGGAUAACCACACGUCCCGAAUGCAACAAAGAAACCAAAGGAAUGCCAUGCAACUCGGCAAACAGCCGAUCUAUAAAUGAAUGCGAUGCACCGGUAUCAAAUAAAGCAGAACUCUAAUGCCAUCAAGUAAAAUGAUACCUGCAACCAUAUCCUCGGCUGCUGCCGCCUCCUCGGUCUGAGCGGCAUACAUACGCCCACUCGGGGCCUGUCGAGAACCCUCGCUCUGACGCUGGACAGGUGGCCACCCAGGCUGGUACUGUGUCGACGGAGUCCCGUGGCUAGCGGCUGGUAGAGCCGGUGCCGAUGCAGAUUACGGUGCCGUUGACGAACCCCUCGGGCACUCGGUCCGGAAGUGGCCCUCCUAGCCGCACUGGAAACAACUCCCUCCCCGCUGCGGGCACUGCGGUGGAAUGUGGGGACCACCACAGAUCAUGCACUGGGGAGGUCGGCGUCGGUCAAAACCUCCACGGUGGGUCGCCGAGCCACGCCCACGCUGCUGGCUCCUGGGAUGCUUCGGCGGCCUCCUAGAGUGUGUCUGGCUCGCACCCUCAGCCGCAGGCCUCUUGGCCUUACCUUUGUCCAUAGCCUCUCGCCGCUCCUGGACGUCUGCCGCACCACUCUCCCGGUAGGUUUGGAGGUUAGAGGAUUGCACAAACUGAAAAAUCGAUGGUCGCAACCCUCGCUCGAAGAUGCGGGCCUUGUCGUCGUCGUCCCGUACGACGAAAGGCACGCAGUGUAGAAGCUGAGAAAACUCCCGCUCGUACUCGGCUACUGUCCUGUCUCCCUAGCGCAAGUUGCACAAGUCCUGCUCCAUCUUCCUCUUGACGCUGGUCGGAAAGUAAUGUGCCAAAAGAAGCUCCUUGAACCUCUUCCAAGAAAUAGCCGCCAAAUCAGUGCUGGGGUUCUCCUGGAGAUCGAACCACCAGCGGUAGGCCUCACCGUCCAAAUGGUGUGUGGCGAGCCAAACUCGAUCUCUCUCCUCCACGAAGGUGUCGCGGAAGAGCUUCUCCAUAUGCAUCAACUACUUCUCCACGAUCCAGUGGUCGACCUUCUCGCCGUCGAAGAUCCGGGGACUACACCUCCUGAACUCGUUGAGGAGCUCCAUCGGUCGGUCUCGCUCUACUCCCUCGACCAACACGGGGAAAACAGCUCCAAUCGGGGGUGCCUUAACACGUGGCGCCGCCAAAGCCUCCUCCUAAGGCGCGGCCACGGGCGCCGCACACGACGAACUGGGCGCGGGGGACGGUGCUCUCUGCGCGACGUCCUCAACUGGUGCUGGCGGUGUAGGGGCCUGGGUCUCCAUGGAAGCUGCGGCCUGCUGCAGAAGAAGGUCCUCCAGGCGCUUCAUCCGCGCCUCUUGCCGGCGCGCCGCCUCAGUCUGCUGUCGUGCCGCCUCCGCCUGCUGAGUCACUAGGCCGGUGAGGGCCGCAAGCUGGCUCCUCAACUCCUGGACGUUGCCAGAUCCGGAGGUAGCGGAGGUCUCGACCUCCUCAAGAUGUGCCGCAUUAUCCGCUCCGACAGAUUGGGAGCAAGUGAUCGACAUCUCACUACAAUAUCAUAAAAGCGUAAGUUAGUAACCCAUGCUAUCGUAUCCACUCUCAAGCAGAUAAUACCCCAAAUCAUGCGAAAGUAAUGAAGUGUGCUUCAUUACUAACUCCCGAUGUUACGUUGUCGGCCGCCAACGUAACCCUCCGCGAAGUUAGGAGCUAUACACUUCAAUUUAACUCCACUUUCUAGAGUUAUCAAAAUACCCAAUCACGAUACUUUCAGUUACAAGUCAAAUAGACCUCGUCUCUCACGAGCCUUUUUCUAUAGCCCAACCGGCCUAAGGUUUGCUAGGUCCACUAAGACUCAACCCUAGGCUCUGAUACCAAACUAAUCUGUCACGCCCCGGGACCCAGCGGAAGCCAGCCCGGCGCGUGUCCAGACCCGCCAUAUGUCUGAAACAUAUAAGGCGUCUAAAACAAAACGAUAAAUGAAGCAGCAAAAAGAGAGCAUCUAGGAGUAUCAGAGCAAGUAUAUCUAGAUGCUACAAUAGAGAAAAAGAACCAUAAAACUAAAAUCCACUAGAUGAAAACGUAAAGUAGUAUAAGAAGAAUCCGAAACAAGUGCUAUAAGUAAAUAAAUAGGUGGUCUCUAUACAUAGAUACAAAACCUCUCUCUCUCUCUCUACAACAACAAAAAGAGAGAAAACCACCUAAGCAACAGUAAAUCCUCGCUAUCUAGCUAGCGAUCCCCUUGCCGCGAUCCCGUGCCUCCGCUGGUACAGAGGGCUCUAAAAAGAAAACAUAGAAACAGAGGCGUGAGAACUAUUAAAUAAUAGUUCCCAGUGGGCAAUUACUGACUUCAGUGAAAGCACCAUUAGGCCCAAAAGAGCUAAACAGGUAAGUAACAAUAAAAGCAAUAAAAUCGAUAUGUAAGUAAACAUGUAAACUUACUAUAACAUGACAUCUCUACUUAGCAUGAAUUUGCAUAAGUAAUAAAAGACUAUUCUAACAUGAAUGUACUAAAGUAUCACUAGCAUGAUGUCCACAAGCUAAAUAGUAAAAUAUCUUGUUUACUAUUCUAGUCAAUAUCCAGUCGGUAUGCUAAGUCAUCAAUGAUCCAAUCUUGUAGGACCUACCCGUGGGUAGUCCGGCCUGCGCCGUGCCUAAUGGCCCCGUGGUAGUCAACAUCCCCACUCUAGGAAUGAGCCUCCCCCACGGCAUCCCAUUUCGGCGCCCAAUUCCGCACGAGCGAGCAUAUGUCGCGAUGGCUAUCUCCGGAGUGCCGACUUGCAGGGAGCGACCCUCACA